UAAUAAUAUGAAUAAUGAAAAUUUUCAUUACACUUUGUAUAAAUUGAAAAUUUAUAAUUUUAUAUUCAAGAUUUUAUUGAGUAAUUGAUCUUAUAUAUUAUAUUUUUAAAACAUAUGUUGUAUUUGUUUAUAUUUUAUUUUUAUUAUUAUUUAUAUUUAUUUAUUUAAAUUUAUCGUUUGAUUUCGAUGUUCGUCGUGCAUCGCACGAAUGUGCGUAUACUAGUAUAUUAAAAAUGUAAGGUUAUUGGCGUCUAAAUACACGAACUUUGGGCCCAUUUUGAUUUUUCCCACAAACUUUGAAAGUUGUCAAAAAAUACACAUACUUUGACUCAUUUUAUUUUUUUCCACGAACUUUGAGAAUUAUACAAAAAUACACAAAUUUUAGCUCAUUUUGUUCUUUUCCACGAAAUAUUGUUAUAAAAAAUGAUCCAAAUAAUUCUUUUAUAAAAUUAAACAUAUGGGACAUAUAUUUGAAAGGUUAAACUUGCAAUUUCUACAUAUUUACAAGAUUUACAACGAUAUCAUUAUAGGCCAGAAAAUAUAAAUUUAGUUAAAACACUUCUUUUACCCCUUGGAUUCUUCAUCUCCUCUAAACUCCAACUCAAAUCACAAAGCAAAGCUCUCUUGAGAAACUCAUAGGUAGUGAUUAUGGUCGUUGCAAACAUCAACAUUGAAGCCCAUCUCGGCCCCAAUCCCCAAUAGCAAGCACCCAACCCGCCUCCUUCACCUCCUUCUCCAUCCAAAACCUGCAGCCUCAUCUUAAUAGUGUCCAGAGGCAUUGUCACCAACGCAGACGCCCCAGUAGCCAUCGCAACACCCAAUGUCACCAGCGCAGAUGCCCCAGUACGCCCCAUGUAUUGGAUAAUACAUAGCGACAACAUGAGUCUCCCAAUAUUGUAGGCAAAGUGGGAUCGGAUCGAGGGUGGCCAAUAUUAUGUAAUUUGUUUUAUGUACAAAUAUUAUUAAUUAAUAAUGUAUGAACUAACUCAAAUUAAA